rnacentral:rRNA from 1 species
AGAGAGAGACAUGCGCGCAUAUCAAUAAGCGGAGGAAAAGAAACUAACAAGGAUUCCCUUAGUAACGGCGAGUGAAGCGGGAAGAGCUCAAAUUUGAAAUCUUCAAGGUUCUACCUUGACGAAUUGUAGUUUAUAGAAGUGUUUUCUGUUAGUGGAGUGGCAAAAGUUCUUUGGAAUAGGACAUCAUAGAGGGUGAGAAUCCCGUAUUUGGUCAUUCCUCCUAGCGUUGUGAUACACUUUCAACGAGUCGGAUUGUUUGGGAAUGCAGUCCAAAAUGGGUGGUAAAUUUCAUCUAAAGCUAAAUAUUGGCGAGAGACCAAUAGCGAACAAGUACCGUGAGGGAAAGAUGAAAAGAACUUUGAAAAGAGAGUUAAACAGUACGUGAAAUUGUCAAAAGGGAAGCGUUUGACACCAGUGUUGUUUUUCCGAAAAUCAAUUACGAAUGUUUUAUUUUUGAGGAGUUAUGACUUCAUCGGCUUGCUCCUUUCUUUACGAAACUUUCUUAAUGCACUUUUCGGUUAACAAGUCAACAUCAAUUUCUUUUGUUGUAAAAGGGUAUGAGGAAGGUGGCUUUCUUUUCGGAGAAAGUGUUUAUAGCCUUGUGCCUCUGCAAUCGGAGAGAUUGAGGUCUGCAGCGUAGAUCCUUCGGGGUUAGAUACGUUUGUGCUAAGUUAUAGCUUUUCAUAGACAACUUGUUGACUAUGUUUAGUCUUGUAGCUUACUCGCUGACGCUAUUUUACCUACGCUUAGGAUGUUGAUAGUCACAGCGUGUAC